rnacentral:rRNA from 1 species
GGGGAAUAUUGGGCAAUGGGCGCAAGCCUGACCCAGCAACGCCGCGUGAGGGAAGAAGGUUUUCGGAUUGUAAACCUCUGUCGCAGAUGACGAAGGAAGUGACGGUAAUCUGUGAGGAAGCCCCGGCUAACUACGUGCCAGCAGCCGCGGUAAUACGUAGGGGGCGAGCGUUGUCCGGAAUUACUGGGCGUAAAGGGAGCGUAGGCGGUCGAUUAAGUUGGAUGUGAAAUACCCGGGCUUAACUUGGGGGGUGCAUCCAAUACUGGUUGACUAGAGUACAGGAGAGGAAAGCGGAAUUCCUAGUGUAGCGGUGAAAUGCAUAGAUAUUAGGAGGAACACCAGUGGCGAAGGCGGCCAACUGGGCUUUUACUGACGCUGAGGCUCGAAAGCGUGGGGAGCAAACA